AACAUCUGGAUUAAAAUGGCAGUGGUUAGAUGCUUGAUCAGAGUGUGGGAGGUUUUUGUACAGCCACUUAAUGAGUUUGUAUCACUGUGGUGGACUUUUGGUGGAGGAACUAAACUCAUCAUUCACUCUGGCCCCAUGGUCAGACCCUCAGUCUCUCUGCUUCAACCCUCCUCUGAGAAGCUCUCUGGAGGCCCAGUCACACUGGCCUGCCUGCUGACCGGCUACUCUCCUCAGGGAGCUGAAGUGAGAUGGGAAGUAGAUGGCACAGAGGUGACAGAGGGGGUCCUGAACAGCUUAGAAGAAGAGAAGAGUAGUCGCUACAGCAGCAGCAGCACCCUGAUGCUGAGCCAAGAGAACUGGAUGAACGCAGAGGUGUUCUCCUGCAGGGUGAACCAUCAUGACCACCGGCAGGCCAAGUCCUUCCGCAAGAACCGGUGUGAGGGCUAGAGGGGCUGCUGAAGUC